rnacentral:rRNA from 1 species
UACAGAGGGUGCGAGCGUUGUCCGGAAUCACUGGGCGUAAAGGGCGCGUAGGUGGCCUGAUAAGUAGGGGGUGAAAUCUCGAGGCUCAACUUCGAGGCUGCCUCCUAAACUGUCAGGCUUGAGCAGAGUAGAGGCAGGUGGAAUUCCCGGUGUAGCGGUGGAGUGCGUAGAGAUCGGGAGGAACAUCAGUGGCGAAGGCGGCCAUCUGGGACAACACUGACGCUGAGGCACGAAAGCGUGGGGAGCAAACAGG